rnacentral:rRNA from 1 species
GAUGAACGCUGGCGGCGUGCCUAAUACAUGCAAGUCGAGCGAACAGACGAGGAGCUUGCUUCUCUUACUUUAGCGGCGGACGGGUGAGUAACACGUGGAUAACCUACCUAUAAGACUGGGAUAACUUCGGGAAACCGGAGCUAAUACCGGAUAAUAUUUUGAACCGCAUGGUGCAAGAGUGAAAGACGGUUUUGCUGUCACUUAUAGCUGGAUCCGCGCGGCAUUAGCUAGUUGGUAAGGUAACGGCUUACCAAGGCAACGAUGCGUAGCCGACCUGAGAGGGUGAUCGGCCACACUGGAACUGAGACACGGUCCAGACUCCUACGGGAGGCAGCAGUAGGGAAUCUUCCGCAAUGGGCGAAAGCCUGACGGAGCAACGCCGCGUGAGUGAUGAAGGUCUUCGGAUCGUAAAACUCUGUUAUUAGGGAAGAACAGAUGUGUAAGUAACUGUGCACGUCUUGACGGUACCUAAUCAGAAAGCCACGGCUAACUACGUG